GGCCUGAGGGCGGGGCUGCGAGCAGGCCAGGGGCUGCGGGGAGGGGACGCUUCCCGCGGGCGCGCGGAGCGAGGACGGUGACAGCCACGCGCGCACGUGCGCGUCCGGCUGCAGCGCCGCCCCAAUUCCUCUGUUCGCCGCUGAGAGGCGCGCAGGGUCUGAGCCGCAGCCGUCUAGGGGCUCCGUCCCGGGCGUCCCCAGCGUCCCCGGCUCAAGUCCCGGAGCGCCGUUCCGUGCCUGCCCCGUCUGUCCCGGCUCGGGUUUCUCCCCCGCGCGGCCGUCAGAGCCUGCUCCCCAAUUCCCCUUUCCGUUCCUGGGGUAGGGUCCUCACGGCCCAUGCUGGCCGCUGGGGGCCCGCGCCACUCAGCUCCCGGGCCGGCCGGCCGGCCACCAUGGUGGCCCUGAGGCCUGUGCGGCUCCUCCAGGGAGGGUAAGAGGCCCAGAGCGCAGGCUUCGGGGCGCGAGGGUCCCGGGCCUGAGCCUCGCGCCAUGGCCGGAGCCAUCGCUUCCCGUAUGAGCUUCAGCUCGCUCAAGCGGAAGCAGCCCAAGACGUUCACCGUACGGAUCGUCACCAUGGACGCCGAGAUGGAGUUCAAUUGCGAGAUGAAGUGGAAAGGGAAAGACCUGUUUGAUUUGGUGUGCCGGACCCUAGGGCUGCGGGAGACCUGGUUCUUCGGACUGCAGUACACAAUCAAGGACACUGUGGCCUGGCUCAAAAUGGACAAGAAGGUGCUGGAUCAUGAUGUUUCAAAAGAAGAGCCAGUCACCUUUCACUUCCUGGCCAAAUUUUAUCCUGAGAAUGCCGAGGAGGAGCUGGUUCAAGAGAUCACACAACAUUUAUUCUUCUUGCAGGUAAAGAAGCAGAUUUUAGAUGAGAAGAUCUACUGCCCUCCUGAGGCUUCUGUGCUCCUGGCUUCUUAUGCUGUCCAAGCCAAGGGAAUACAUAGCCCACUUCUUGUUGGACAGGAUUUGAAGCAGAGCAGAACCGGAGCAUGGAACCAGGACGAGAACCCCAGUGUCCGGGCUCCCUCACUCAGCACUCUGCACUUGCCUUCCACCCUAGUGUGUGAGGGGCGUCUCUGGAUAGCACACACUGCCUUUCACUGAAUUCCACUCAUUUAUGUGAUCACAUUAGUCCAGACUUUUCAGUAAAUCAUACUGGUUCCUCCCAUUAUAUUCAAUUUAUUUUCCUCUACAACCAUUCUGAAACAGGAACUUUCAAAGUGUGGUGGGGAAAGUGAAUUGAGCUCAUUAACACAUGGAAUGUAAUUAUGCACAAAUGUAUUCAUUACAGUAUUUCAGCUGUUUGAAUGAUAUAGACACAGUUAAUUCCAAAGCAUAAAGAAACAAUUACCCUCAAAGUAUAAAUACAAAUAUUAAUCACAUGGUUCAGUUAACAAGAACCAUAUUUGUGGGAGGGAGUUUGAGUUAUGCUUGAAUCAAAAGUAUGGGCUGGGUUUUUUGGGAGCCAGUCACAUGACAUGUCAAACCAUCUUGCAAUGUUUUAAGCCACCUGUUGGAUCUUAUAUUGACAAUUUGAUGUUUGAAAUGUGUUCUUAUUAAAAUGACUUUGGGAGAGAAUGGUAUGCAAUUUACCAACCAAUCUUUCAGCACUGGCCUGCACAUUCCUAGUUCAGAGACAAGAAUGGUGGGAGAGCAGGCUUAGUAUUUCUUAGUACACUUUGAUGAAAAUUAGGGACAGAGUGCCAAAAAGCAAUUAAGAACUUGGGUAUGUGAAGUAUAUGUAAAGAGUGGCAAGCGCUGAGACCGAAGCAGCCUGCAGCAGGCCAGAUCAUAAAGGGUCUUAACUUUAUCCUGUGGGUGAUGCAGAGCCAGUGAAGAGUUUAUAUUUUAGACAGAUCUUUGGUGGCUGUGUGAAGGACAGAUUGGGGUGAGACAAGUUUGGAAAUGGAGACUUGUUAGAAGGCUGUGGUGGCCAUCCUGGUAAGAGACAAUGAGGGUCACACCUUGGGCAGUGGUCAGUUGGAAAGAAAGACACUGACUUAAAAAUAUUUAGGAGGUAAAAGUUGAUGUAAAAGGUGAUAUACUCUGUUAUACCCCUCCCCCCUUUUUUGGCUUAUCUUUUUAUAAAUUGAUAUUUUUUUUUCCUACUCAACAUCAGUUUUGAGAUGUAUCCUGUUGUAUGUGUAGAUGUAGCUCAUUGCUUUUAAUUGCUGGAUGGCAGCCAUUGGUGAAUAAAUCUAAUUUCUUUACCGAUCCCCCUUCUGGGGGAGAGGUAGGUUUAGCUUCUACUUUUCCCCUAUUAUAAACAGUGCUUUACUGAAAAUUCUUUUCUAUGAUUCCUUGUGUACAUGUGCAAAAGCUUUUUCCCCUUGAGGUAGAUUUCUAGAAGUAGACUUGUAGAUAUAUCCCUGAAUAUAAAGAGCUCUUAAGUUCAUAAGAAAAAGACAGCAGAAAAAUGGGUGUAAAGGGUAUGAACCAGCAGGCACUUCAUAGAAGAGAAAUGAGAAUAAUCUGUAAAUACAAAAAGAUGCUCAAUCUCACCAGGAACCAAGAAAAAGAAAAAUUAAAGCAACAGUAAGGUAACAUUUCAAGCCUUUAAGAUUGACAAGGAUUAGUAAAUUGGAUAGUAGCUUGGUUUGAGCUUAUAUAUACUUGCUGGAGGGGACUGGGAAUUGGCAUAACCUCCGUAGAGCAAAUGUGUGUGUGGUGGGGGCCAGUCAGCUGAGGGUUCAUGCCUUCCCCAACUCCCCGAAAUUGCACUUCUAUGUGGCUACUCCAGAGGAACUCCUACACAACACUCCCUUUUCACUUAAAACUGUCAGAACAGAUAGACCCACCUCAUUUGUUUAACUACUGCACAGUGUUUCGUAAAAAGGGGGGAUUGUGGAUUAUUUAGAUAUCUCUUUAUUGGUAGAUAUUUAGGUUUGUUUUUCUUUCUAUAAUUUAAAUGGACACAGUGAACAUCCUUGAAUAUGCCUCUCUGGGCACAUAUAAACAAUAUUUCUCUAUGACUGACACCAACAAAUGGCACAACUGGGCUAAAGGAUAAAAACAUGUAAAAUUUAUAAUAAUGCUAAGUGAAAGAAGCCAGAUGUGAAAGGCUGCAUAUUAUGUGAUUCCACUUAUAUGAAAUGUCCAGAAUAAGCAAGUCCAUAGAGACAGAAAGUAGAUUAGUGGUUGCUAAGGGUUGGAAGGAGAAGGAUAUUAGGACUUACUGCUAACGGGUAUGGGAUUUCUUUUUGGGGUGAUGGAAAUAUUCUGAAUAAGAUAGGGGUGUGUGUACAAUAUUCUGAGUAUACUAAAAACCACUGAGUUAUGUGCUUAAAAUGGUGAAUUUUACAUAUGUAAAUUUUAUCUCAAUAAAAAAAUUAAGUAGAUAGGACCAAUUGCCCUGCAAAAGUGUCCUAAUUUAACUUCUAAGAGAACAAACAGUGUGUGAGAAUACCUGUUUUUCCACAUCUUCAUCAGCAGUGGAUGCUGUUAGUCUUUUAAAUUUUUGCUAAUCUGAUAGAAAAAUAGAUUUUUGAAAGUUUUCAUUUCCUUGAUUACCAUUGGGGCUGAGCAUCUUUUCAUAGACUAAGUGGCAUUUAUAUUUCUUUCCUUGUGAAUCAAUGUUUACAACUUGCCCAUUUUACUACUGUAUAGUUCAUCUUUUUCAAAUUGAUUUGUAGGAGUUCCAGAUAUUAUGGGUGUUAACCUUUUAUCUUUUUUUAAAAUAUAUUGGACUUGUCAGUCUUUUUUUAUGUUUUGAGUGACUUCUAGAAUGGCUUCACCAACCAUUAUUAUACACAUGUUCUUCUAUAUUUUGUUCUGGUAUUUUUAUGGAUUUUCAUGUGAGGUUUGUAUCUCAUCCAUCUGGAAUUUAGUGACGCGUGUGUGGUAGGGAUCUAACUACUCUAAAUAUAUAUUGAUCAGAUGUUUAUGUUUUGUGAAAUCCUAUUCAGAGCAUUUGGUCUAAUUUUCUAUGUAUACAGACAGAGGAAAGUAUUUAACAUCCAGAAGGAGCUUCUUUUAACCCAAGAAUCAACUCCAGAAGUCCUUUAAAUGUUCAACUUUCUUCUUGAAUUUAAAGUGAAUUGGUUUAUAUCAGGGGUGGAUCCAGGUUUUGUGGGGCCUGAAGUUUAUAUAACUUAGGGGGUUCUCUUUAAUGCAGGGACACCAAAUUAUAAAUAUAAAAUUAGGUGCAGGCACAGAGACCUAAAAGCCAAGCUUCAUUAGCUUUACGGUAAAUUCAACUCUGGGAUAUGUCAUCUGAAUGCAUCCGUACAUGAAAAGGAUGAGGCACAGCUGCCUCCAUCUGGGGGGGCCAUGACUUUCUUUUAUACUCACUGACUGCCACAACGUCAGGAUUUUCUUCUUUUGUUUUUUUUGAAGGGACAGUUAAGAGCAGAUACAGUUUCUAGGUGGCUUUAAUGUAGUAAGUGGAGUCAGUCCAGUGGAGGGGUAUUUCAAGGAGUGUCUUUGCUGCUUCUGCAUUGCUCAGAUGCAACAUUUUGGUCAGUGGAGUAGCUGGGAAUUCAGUAUGAUAUGUGGAUCAUUGACCAUGCAAGCCUUUGAAACCUGAAUUUACAACUUGAACUCUGCAUAUCUGCUUGCUUUUCAUUUGAUUUUAGUCAGUACUUUUGAGAGGUUUGCAAAUGCAACUAGCAGAGCUUUUUAGCAUCCUACCUCUUCAGAAACUGGAGAGGGAAACGGUGACCAGUGAUUAUAAAUAAGGCAGAGGAUAACAUACCAGACAUUCAUCUGAGCCAGGCACUUUGCAAAAUGCUUUCCUGCAUUGUCUUACUUCCUCCUCCUCAGCCCCCGUGAGGCAGGUGCUAUUAUGACCCUUGCUUUCCAGAUGAGGAAGCUGGGAUUUAGAGAGAGAGUGCCCUACUCAAGGCCUCAGAGGGAAUACUCCAGAGCCCUUACUUAGAAAGCCUCUAUAACCAGCUCUCUCGUUUGACAAAUCAGAAAAUAGAUUCAGAGAGGUGAUACAACCUGAGUUUUUAUCUUUUGACAUGAGGUUGCAUUAAGUGCUGUAUGUCAAGCAUAGUUUUUAUAAUUUUAUGGAUACUAUUUCAUUGAAUUUCUAUAAGAACCCUAUAAGAUAAAUACUGUUAUUAUCCUCAUUUUACAGACGGGAAAACUGAGACUCAGAGAUUUCCCAGGUCACAGCUAAAACACUGGGACUGAACCUUAAACACCCUGCCUCCAGAGCCAGGCUCCUACCUGCACCUUGCAGCUGCCUCCCAAGAGAGUCCCGUGAAAAUUCAGCCAGUUACUGACUUGCUCCAUCCCUGGGCCUUUCAGAGAUCCAGAGAAACCAGUACGGUGACUACGACCCCUCUGUUCAUAAGCGGGGAUUUUUGGCCCAAGAGGAAUUGCUUCCAAAAAGGGUAAUAAAUCUAUACCAAAUGACUCCAGAAAUGUGGGAGGAGAGAAUUACAGCCUGUUACGCAGA